UUUUCCUCUCUCUCUCUCUCUCACCUACGCUGCUUCAUCCAUUUUUCCAGUCUCAUUCUCUCUCUCUCUCUCUCUCUCUCUCAACCCACAAUUCCAAUUCCCUCCCUCAAAUGCCAAUUUCUCAAUCCCUUUGAUUUUCUAUUCUCUUUUUUCUCUACACUGCUUUUGACCUAAAUCCCCUUCUUUACUAACAUCCUAGAUUGCUUUCGGACCCAAUUUCAGGACCUCCGCUGCUUCGAAUCUCGUGGUGCUUAAUUAUCAUCGAUCACGGAGUUUUGAUUUACAGCCCUCUGGGUUUAGUGGGUCUGAAGGGGUGGUGGUGGUGAUUGUGAAGGUACACUACACUGCAUGUUUGAGAAUUAAGGGGAGGGUUCCUCUGCUCUGCUGUGGAGGAUACCCGUGGCAGAGAAGUGAUUUUGAUAUAGCUUUUUGUGGCUUUGGAGAGUGCUUUUGAAUUGUGGGGUGUCGAAUUUCAGAGGAAAUGUUUGCUCCAGUAGCUGAAACAGGAUUUGAGGGUAGUGGAGUGUCAGGACCCAUUUUGAUUCCAAAGCGGUUUGUUUGGCCUUAUGGGGGAAAAAGGGUAUAUCUAAGUGGUUCUUUCACGAGAUGGUCAGAACAUAUACUAAUGUCUCCUAUGGAGGGAUGCCCUUCAGUCUUUCAAGUUACUUGCCCUUUAAUGCCUGGAUAUCAUCAGUACAAAUUUAAUGUCGAUGGUGAGUGGCGCCACGAUGAGCAGCAACCAGUUGUAAGUGGGAACUAUGGAGUAGUUAAUACUAUUUAUUUAGGGCGAGAACCAGAUAUGCACACCAUUUUGAGUUCUGAAACACCUGGUAGAUCUCACAUGGAGGUUGAUAGUGUUAUCUUUGGGCAUGUGGAGGCUAAUCCAAGUAUGUCAGAUUCUGAUCUUGAGGUCUCUCGCCACCGUGUAUCUGAAUUCUUGUCUACACAUACUGCUUACGAGUUACUUCCAGAUUCAGGGAAGGUAGUUGCCUUGGAUAUAAAUUUACCAGUUAAGCAAGCAUUUCAUGUGCUUUAUGAACAGGGCAUAGCUAUUGCUCCUCUAUGGGAUUAUUGCAGGAGCCAGUUUGUUGGAGUGCUCAGUGCAAUGGAUUUCAUUCUAAUGUUGAAAGAGCUGGGAAAUCAUGGAUCAAAUCUGACUGAAGAACAACUUGAAACUCAUACAAUAGCAGCCUGGAAAGAGGGAAAACUACAGCAUCAUAGAACACUUAGUAGUAAUGGGGGAUCAUAUCCUUGGCGUUUUGUUUAUGCUGGACCUCAUGAAUGUCUUAAAGUAGUUGCUUUGAAAGUUCUGCAAAACAAGGUGUCAACAGUUCCUAUCAUCCAUUCUUCUGCAGAUGAUGGUUCAUUUCAUCAGCUGCUACACCUGGCUUCCUUAUCAGGAGUUCUAAAAUGUAUAUGCAGGCAUUUCAAGUACUCAUCUGGUUCUUUGCCUAUUCUUCGCUCACCGAUUGGUUCAAUACCUUUAGGUACACGGUUGCCUAAAGUUGGGGAACUAAAUGGACAGCCACUUGCAAUGCUAAGGCCAAAUGCAUCGCUAGGUGCUGCUCUGUCAAUGUUUGUUCAAGGUCAGACUGAAAUUGUCAAAUCAAUUUGUGUAAUUUUCAUUGAUCAGGAGUACAGAUUGGUAGACCAUUUCUCGCUUAAGCUUUUUCAAAAUCUGAAGUUAGCUCAAUACCAAUUGUGGACGAUAAUGAUUCUUUGCUUGAUAUAUAUUCAAGAAGUGAUAUUACGGCGUUGGCUAAAGAUAAAGCUUAUGCUCGGAUAUCCCUUGAUGAGAUCAGUAUCCAUCAGGCAUUGCUUUUGAGACAAGAUGCAAAUUCUCCUUAUGGGCUUUGGAAUGGCCAGAGAUGUCAUAUGUGUUUGAAGUCUGAUUCAUUGCAGAAAGUUAUGGAGCGUUUAGCCAGUCCCGGGGUUAGGAGACUUGUGAUUGUGGAAGCUGGCAGCAAGCGCGUGGAAGGGAUAAUUUCCUUAAGUGACGUGUUCAAAUUCUUGUUAGGCUAACUGGGAAGGGAAAAGCAGUUUGGAAGAAUGGAUUUAAUUUAAUGGCACUUGUUUUCUGAGCAAUUCUCCUUCCUUUGCUUACAUUUUAGAGUUGUUGGAUGGGCAUCUUUGGUUCUUGUUGCUCACUUAGGGAUACAAAAUGGGAGAGAAAAUUCUGUAAAUUUAGUUUCAACUUUCUCCUUUGAAGAUCUUAAUGAAAUCUUUUUCUCCAUUGUGCCGGCACAUCUACAAUGUGUGUCCAGUGCUAAAAGAAAUCAUGUAGACACUUAGAAAAGAAAAAGUGAAUGAAAAAAAAAAAAAAAAACAGAAAGAAAGAAAAAGAAAGGUGCUAGGAAAGAACGCAUGCAGCGAGCGCACGCUGUUUUGCUGGCUGGUUGUAAUUUCAUGUUAUGUUUUUGGAUGUUAAUUUAGAUUUUUCUGUUGAAACGUUGAUUAACGACUUAUGUUUUUUUUUUUUUGGUA